rnacentral:rRNA from 1 species
CCGCAUGGUUCAAAAGUGAAAGACGGUCUUGCUGUCACUUAUAGAUGGAUCCGCGCUGCAUUAGCUAGUUGGUAAGGUAACGGCUUACCAAGGCAACGAUGCAUAGCCGACCUGAGAGGGUGAUCGGCCACACUGGAACUGAGACACGGUCCAGACUCCUACGGGAGGCAGCAGUAGGGAAUCUUCCGCAAUGGGCGAAAGCCUGACGGAGCAACGCCGCGUGAGUGAUGAAGGUCUUCGGAUCGUAAAACUCUGUUAUUAGGGAAGAACAUAUGUGUAAGUAACUGUGCACAUCUUGACGGUACCUAAUCAGAAAGCCACGGCUAACUACGUGCCAGCAGCCGCGGUAAUACGUAGGUGGCAAGCGUUAUCCGGAAUUAUUGGGCGUAAAGCGCGCGUAGGCGGUUUUUUAAGUCUGAUGUGAAAGCCCACGGCUCAACCGUGGAGGGUCAUUGGAAACUGGAAAACUUGAGU